ensembl:lncRNA
CACGCUGGGAGGAUGGUGUUGAGUGGACUGUCCGAGCUCAACCAGCAGGUAACCAUUCACAUAAUUGUACAGCAUUCAUCAGACCAGAUAUAUAGUUCCCACUGGGCACAGACGUCAUUUCAGCGUGUAGUUUUUAGUUACAUUUGGUUGAGUUCAAUGUGAAAUCAAUAAAACAAAUGUACCAUGUCAUUGGACUUAGGUUAAAAGUUGGGUGAAAAAAAUACGUUGAUGACUUUUUUCAAUUCCAAUCAGUUUUCCAUGUUGAUUCAACAUCAUCACAUUACAUUUUUGUUGUUGAUAUGACAAGGAAACAACGUUGAUUCAACCAGUCUUUGCCCAGUGGCUUACAUUUAGGCAAUAGUGAUUUGUAAGGUUUAGUUGAAAAGUUCCAAUGUCUUACAAGCCAAACAAUCAGAAUUACAGAGCUGAAUCUUUGAGUUUAUGAUCCAAGUUCUAAGGAAUUUUAUGAUUGUUUUGUUUUGAGGAUGUGAGGCAGUUUCAGCAGGCCUAUGACAUCCUGGUGAACUUCAUUAAUGAGCCAGCAAACAGGGAGCGACUAGAGCUGGAGAUGGCUCUUGUAGGAGUAGGUUUACAUACAAGCUUGAGCGUUAGCUGCAGGCACCGUCUGCUCAUCCAACAUCUACUCAAUGAGACUUUCUAAAGUGCUUGUCAAUGAAAAUGAUGUAAUUAUCUUAUUUGUUCGACUUCAGAUCAACCACAUCAACUUCACGGAUGUAUUUUAUGAAUUUGUUCUACUAAGCCUUCUGGAAGGAAAAACAUCUAUUCCAACAUCUAGGCCUGGUACCUUCUUUUAUCUGCUCGUGGAAGUGAUCAUGAGGAUUCACCCUCCUGGAGAAGCCUGGACAGAGUCUGCUGGGAACUUCUACCUCCUCAUUAAGGUGCAUUUCUCUCUCUCCCUCUCUCUCUCUUUAUCCUGAACUGUGUGUGAUGGUUUGUUCAUCCUUAUCUUUGUACUUGGUCAUUAAAUAAUAGUUGAUGAUGUGUCUGUUGUCGUCAGGAUCAGAUGAAGGCGUGGUUGGACUCCAUCUUCAACCUCGAUGAGUCCAUCUAUGAAAGCCCACAGAGGCUCUCGUGGCAGGUGAUGGUGAAUCUAGAAAUGCAGGUUGACUUCCUCCUGUCCAGCCUGGAUUAAGGGUCCCAAACUGAGCUGAGGAUCCCAAACAUAAAAUAAAGUAUUUUGCAUUUAAACAUUACCUGUCAAUCUGAAACUAAUUUUACAUCAUGUCAAAACAAAUCAAAUGUUAUUGGUCACAAACACAUGGUUAGCAGAUGUUAAUGCGAGUGUAGUGAAAUGCUUGUGCUUCUAGUUCCGACCGUGCAGGAAA